CCGGAAGUACCUCGUACUGGCUGGGAGCUCCAGUAAGGAGCGGGUGUUCUGCGUUGCAGACCUACCUAUAUUUCCAAGACUUUCCAAACCUUAUAAUAAAGAGGAGCACUGGCCAGUUCCUCAAAGGUGAAGAACACUUGAUAGCAACAGCAUGAACUUCUCCCAGUCACAGAAUGGCCUUGUGUGACACUGAUAUUCUGUGCAACUCUCUGUGUUCAUCAAGAAAGCACCAAGCAAAGUAGCAGGAUACAAAAUUAAUGCACAGAAAUCUCUUGCAUUCCUAUACACCAAUGAUGAAAAAUCUGAGAGAGAAAUUAAGGAAAUACUCCCAUUUACUAUUGCAACAAAAAGAAUAAAAUACCUAGGAAUAUAUCUACCUAAGGAGACAAAAGACUUCUAUGCAGAAAACUAUAAGACACUGAUGAAAGAAAGUAAAGAUGAUACAAACAGAUGGAGAGAUAUACCAUGUUCUUGGAUUGGAAGAAUUGACAUUGUGAAAAUGACUAUACUACCCAAAGCAAUCUACAGAUUCAAUGCCAUUCCUAUCAAACUACCAAUGGCAUUUUUCACAGAACUAGAACAAAAAAUUUCACAAUUUGUAUGGAAACACUAAAGACCCCAAAUAGCCAAAGCAAUAUUGAGAAAGAAAAACGGAGCUGGAAGAAUCAGGCUCCCUGACUUCAGACUAUACUACAAAGCUACAGUAAUCAAGACAGUAUGGUACUGGCACAAAAACAGAAAUAUAGAUCAAUGGAACAGGAUAGAAAGCCCAGAGAUAAAGCCAUGCACCUAUGGUCACCUUAUUUUUGAUAAAGGAGGCAAGAAUAUACAGUGGAGAAAAGAAAGCCUCUUCAAUAAGUGUUGCUGGGAACACUGGAUGGCUACCUGUAAAAGAAUGAAAUUAGAACACUCCCUAACACCAUACACAAAAAUAAACUCAAAAUGGA